UAUGCAUCCAAACACUUAGACAGAAAGC
rnacentral:piRNA from 1 species